GACGAACGCUGGCGGCGUGCUUAACACAUGCAAGUCGAGCGGAAAGGCCCUUUGGGGUACUCGAGCGGCGAACGGGUGAGUAACACGUGAGUAACCUGCCCUGGACUUUGGGAUAACCCUCGGAAACGGGGGCUAAUACCGGAUAUGACUGCUUCUCGCAUGGGGGUGGUGGAAAGUUUUUCGGUCUGGGAUGGGCUCGCGGCCUAUCAGCUUGUUGGUGGGGUGAUGGCCUACCAAGGCGACGACGGGUAGCCGGCCUGAGAGGGCGACCGGCCACACUGGGACUGAGACACGGCCCAGACUCCUACGGGAGGCAGCAGUGGGGAAUAUUGCACAAUGGGCGGAAGCCUGAUGCAGCGACGCCGCGUGAGGGAUGACGGCCUUCGGGUUGUAAACCUCUUUCAGCAGGGACGAAGCGGCUGGGUUUUCCCGGUCGUGACGGUACCUGCAGAAGAAGCGCCGGCCAACUACGUGCCAGCAGCCGCGGUAAGACGUAGGGCGCGAGCGUUGUCCGGAUUUAUUGGGCGUAAAGAGCUCGUAGGCGGCUUGUCGCGUCGACCGUGAAAACUUGGGGCUCAACUCCAAGCUUGCGGUCGAUACGGGCAGGCUGGAGUUCGGUAGGGGAGACUGGAAUUCCUGGUGUAGCGGUGAAAUGCGCAGAUAUCAGGAGGAACACCGGUGGCGAAGGCGGGUCUCUGGGCCGAUACUGACGCUGAGGAGCGAAAGCGUGGGGAGCGAACAGGAUUAGAUACCCUGGUAGUCCACGCUGUAAACGUUGGGCGCUA
rnacentral:rRNA from 1 species